rnacentral:rRNA from 1 species
CGUUCUUGAAAUUUAAAAAAUUUGGCGGUAUUUUAGUCUUUUAGAGGAACCUGCCCUAUAAUUGAUGAUCCACGAUUAAUUGUACUUAAAUUACAAGUUUGUAUAUCGUCGUAGUUGAAUACCUUAUAAGAGAUUAAGUAUUCAAUAUUUAUAAUUUAUAAAUAAAAUCAGAUCAAGAUAUAGCUUAUAUUUGAGAAGAGGUGGGUUACAAUAAAUUUAUUUUUGGUUAUUAUAAUUAAAAUUAUAGUUUAAAUUGGAUUUAAAAGUAAUAUAUUUAAGUUAAAAUAUAUGAUUUAAGCUCUGGAAUAUGCACAUAUCGCCCGUCGCUUCUAACGAAAUAUAAGUUAGAAUAAGUCGUAACAUAGUAGGUGUACCGGAAGGUGUACCUAGUUUGACAGAUUAAAGCUUUAUAAAAGUAUUUUAUUUACAUUAAAAAGAUAAUUGUGAGAAUCGAUUUAAUUUGAAUUUAAAUAUUUAUUAUAAUUAUUUAUUAAUUUAUUUUUAAAAAAGAUAUUUUUUAAUUUAUUUAUAAAUUUAGAUAAAAUUAUUUAUAAUGAUAGUUUAUUAGUAUAGUGAUAGAACAUUGAAAAAUUUGAAAAUCUAAAAUUUUUAGAAGAAAAAUUUAUUUUUUGUACCUUGUGUAUCAGGGUUUAUUAAAUAUUUAUUAUAUAUUUUUAAUUUUCUCGAAUUUAAAAGAGCUAAAAAAUUAUAUAUUUUAUUGUGAAAUAAAUAUUUAAAAUAGUUUUUUAGUAAUGAAACGUUAUUCGUUUUUAAAUUUAUCUAGUUUUUUAAGAAAUAAAUUUUAAUUUAUUUAAUUAUUUUAAUUAAGAUAAUUUUUUAUUUUAUAUUGAUAUAAUUAAUUAAUAUUUUAAGGGAUAAGCUUUAAAAUAAAAAUUUUAUAAGUUAUAAAUUAUUUAUUGUAUAAAUUAAUAGGAUUAGAAGUUUUUAUUUUUAAUAGUAUGUUAUAAUAAAUUUAUAUUUAUAUAUGAUUUUUAUAUAAUUUUAAAUUAUUUAUUAAAAUUAUUUAUUUAAUAUUAUAUUAUAUGUAAUAAUGAUAGAAUUAGUAUAAUUUAAUGUAAAUUUAAUUUAUAUAAUAUAGGUUAAGUUAAGGAAUUCGGCAAAUUUAAUUUUUCUGCCUGUUUAUUAAAAACAUGUCUUUUUGAUUAUAAUUUAAAGUCUGACCUGCCCUAUGAAAUUUUUAAAUGGCCGCGGUAUUUUGACCGUGCAAAGGUAGCAUAAUCAUUAGUUUCUUAAUUAGGAACUGGAAUGAAUGGUUGGACAAGAAAAAUACUGUCUCAAUUUAAUUUUUAUUAGAAUUUUAUUUUUAAGUUAAAAAGCUUAAAUAAUUUUAAAAGACGAGAAGACCCUAUAGAGUUUUAUAUUAAAUUUUUAAUUAAAUAUUUAAGAAUUAAAAAUUUAAUUAAAAUAUAUUAGUAUUUAAUUGGGACGAUUUAAAAAUUUAUUAAACUUUUUAUUGAUUUAUUUAA